CAUAAAAGUGUUCAUUUUUUAAUGUCUACCAUUCUGUCUUCUGGAUACUGUUGCACAUGCCAUCAAUUCAUACAAUAUUUUUGGGAUUGGUGCCAACUGGUUUAUAAAGUUUUGCAACGAUGAUCCAUCACUGAUGGGAAUAGUAGAUGCCAUCCUCACAUAAAGCAAAGAGAAAAGAAACAUAUACUGAGCCAAGGCAGUCUCUGAAAGUGGUUAUGUUUAGAAGUCCAUCAGUGAUGAGAUUAUUUUGCAUCCUAUGUUAAUUUAGAUUACUAUCACAAAAGUAGGACUUGAGAGCUUUCUUGGAAAUAUGUCUGCUGCAACUAAUGAAGCAACCGAAACGACUCGUUCUGAAGAGCAGAUGCUCCACUUUGCAGCCAGCUUGCACAAACCUCAAGAGAGUACAAUUUCAUAGAGAUAUAUAAAUAUAAUAGUAAAAAUAUGCAGGGACAAGUCCAGAGCUAAGGACAAGAGAAGAGAAAUCCAAAUUGCCCUUCUAGAAGAGAAUUGUGAAUUGCACUUCUAGAAGAGAAUUCUAGAAGAGAAUUGGAAUUGUGUAGACUUCCAUUCAGCCAUCUAGUGUACUCCAGAUACUUUGGACUAUAACACUUAUCACACCAAGCUACAAUGGUGGGCAUUAGGUAGAAGGCCAUCAAUUUGAAAAUGUUAAUGGAGUCUGAAGGCUCAAAGCAUCUGGAACAAGUGUUGGAUCCAAGAAUAAGUUCCACGAUAGGGUUGACACAGCAAUGAAAAUGGAUUUCUCACGAUACAUCUUUUGGGCUAAUGCUGGUCCGAUCCUUCUGUGCACAACCGCUAGGGUGCUCCUGGGAUUUGGAAGAAUGCUAAGAUGAAUGCAGAGGACUUGAAUAAGAGGCUUAUCGGGGAUUUGAUCACUGAUGUUGAGAAUCAUGUGGGAUCAGUAUCCUUGUCAAGUACCUAGACUAAACAUACCAGCUCUUCAAGAUGCUCCUCACAGGACAUGGUCUCCUCUACAGAAUAUCCUGAAUGACUAGAAAAGAAUACCAUGUGUGUGAAAGAGAGAUAUGAGUUCUGUGUUGACUUAGAGGCUUUCUUCUGACAUCUACAACCCAAUAAAUAUUUCAGGGAGAGUGACACCAGCCAGGACAAACAUUCACAAGCAUCUUCUCAGUGUCUCCAACAUGGCAAUGAACUUUGCACCAACAUACCAGAAACUGUAUCUCAGUGUUACAAAAACAACUUUGAAUGGACCCCCCCCCCCCAAAGAAGGUCAGAACAUGGAAUUUGGAUGUCUAUCUAGAAAAUUGUGCCCAAGCUGUGCAACUGUACAAUGGAUUUAUAAAUACCAGAUGUAUAAAAACCUACUGAUUACUACACAUAUGGGCAUAUCUCUAAAUUCUACCAGAACACAUUGCCAAAUCUAUUAUUUACAACCAAGUCCUCUGACACAACUAUAUCUCCCCAAAACUCUUGGGUUUACAAUAUAUAUUUUUCAAACUGCAAUAUCCACUUUAGAAGGUGAAGAAAUAAAUCAGCAAAGCAAGAUUAAUACCCAGGAGCAAUCUACUACUGGACAGGGCAACAAUGCAGAAUGACAGAACAUCUCUAGUGGUUCCCUAUAAUCCCUAGAUGAGAACACUCAAAUACAUCAUCAAUGAACUGCAACCAAUUCUGGAGAAUAGCACAACUGACCCUGAAGACAACCUCCAAAUCUUAAAACAUCUUCUUACUCCCAACAGGAACAUAACGCAAAUGGUAACACAUGCACAAGAAUCUGUCAUAAACCCAGAUGCCUAUUUUAUAAUAGCAACCCCUGAGAUAUUUUCAGCUUCUGUUUUGUGCAAACAUUGGAGGAAAUUAUCAGAGGUCGGAAUGAAUAUAAAAGUAGUCAUGAAGAUCAAGAUUCUUGAAAGACUUCUCUUUCAGAUUAGGCUAGAUCAUAAUGUAAACAUUUAUAGUCACUGAGCUCUUGAUUUCAACCAUAGUUGAAUAUCCUACUCAUGAGAAAUUCCUCUUGCAUUUGUUUAAUGAUUUUUAAAAAAAUAUUUCACUCAAAGAGGUAAAAAAAUGGCUGUGUUUUUCUCUCUUCAUGGCUCUCCUCUUCUUUUUUCCCCAAUUUUUAUUUGCACAGUAAUCCUACAAAGUAGUUUAAGCUGAGGGAUAUUGACUGUACCAAGUAAAGUUUGUGAAAAUGUAGCAAUUAGAAACUGGAUCUCAAACCCAUAGUUCAACACUCUAUCCAUUACAACACAUUAGCUUUUCUUAUAUCACACGCUCCCAUUUUACUUCUAUAUUAUAUAUUCCAGAAUAAAUAGUGAUUCUUGAAAAUGGCAACAGAAAUAAUAGAAUAUCAAAAUGGAAGGUAAUGCAAGAGCCAUUUAGUCCAACUCCCUGCCAGGCAGAAAGACACAACUAAAGCAUUCCUGGGAAAUUUCAUAGAUGGCCAUCUGAUCUCUGUUUAGUAAAUCUCCAAUGAAGGAGAGGCCGCUACCAUCUGAGGCAGUCUAGUCCACUGUUAAACAGCUCUUACAGUAAAGAGUUUUUCCUAAACUUUCAGUGGAAUAUCUUUUGAUUUCUGUUCGAGUGUUGAGAGCAGCAGAAAAUAAGGUCAUUACAUGACCUUCUUUCAGAGAUCUAAAGAUAGUUAGAUCUCCAAAUCCUACACUCUGGUCAACCUCCUCCGGAUAUAGUCCAUCUUGGUUAUUCUUCUGGAAAUGUGGUACCCAGAACUGGAUGUAUUAUUCCAGAUGAUAUCUGACCAAUGUAGAGUAGAGUGAAAAUAUACUCCCUUUGAUCUGGGUAAUAUAUUUGUGUUGAUACAACUUAUAUUGUUGAAUCAUAUUUCGUUUGUCAUCUACUAAUAAUUUGUGGUACUUUUUUUGUCUGUGGAAAGCAUAUAUUUGUCAGGUUUCAACAUACACAGACCAACAUUUUACAUUAGAUCUCUGCAUGAGGAAAUACGAAUUCAUUGUACUUUACAACCCUAUCCACCCAACUAAAUGCACAACAGACGAAGCACUAUUUCCAAUUUCAGCAGAAGCAGACAUAUACACAUGGGCUGAGAAGGUGGAUCAUUUGCAUGAUUUUGAACUGAAUGUCAAUCCUCACAAUGGGCAAAAUGUCCAACAAAGACACUUAACACAUUUAUAAAAUACUAAUAGGAUUCAAGAUUAGAGUGAGAUAUUAAUUUUCUUACAUGUAUACUAUUUACUAACCUGCCACCAAAAGAGGCAGCAGCCACCUACGUGGCAAUGUGCCGUUUCCCUUAGUAUAAGAGUCCAGGAAGAAAUAUGCUGUCAUUGCAGACUGGUGUGACUGCCACUGGUGGGUGGAGGCAGGCCAAUCACAACCACAAGUGAUUUCUGCUCUGUUUUUUUUUUUCAUGCCUGUCCUCUUGCCUUCCUCUGUCAGUGAUGGAUAUGUGAUAUGUCACCACUUCUUGUCAUCCUUUCGUCAGAUGCUUUUGAUGAUUCAGGGGAUUAGGGGAGCAGGGUGAAGGAAAGACAAAUGUAAAGAUAUGUUGUGCUGAAAGCAAUAGUUUUAGUAAUUUGAACACAAUUUUAGUCAAUAGAUCCUACUUCCAUUCAGUGCAUUAGAAUAUAAAAUCUAAUGGUUGAUAUUUCCUGGCAAAAUUCACAAUGCUGCUGAUAAUCUUUGAAAUUCUACAUAGAUUUAGAUCUAGACUAUCUGAAAGACCGUCAACUUUAUCACGUUGGGUUGCUUUUGAUGGCACGCGUGGUUCCAUGAUACUUUUAUGACUGAGCCCACUGGCUCUGAUUCCACGACACAGAGGAACUUCCAGUGGGGUUCUGUCAUAAAACUAUUGAGGAACUGGUGCAUGCCGCCAUAGCAGCAACACGAGAGGCUUCCUGUGGUUCACCAGAAGCAAUGAGGGAGACUAGGCAGUCAAGGAUUCCCCCCAUGGAAUGUCAGGCGAUGCAGAGCCUGGAGCGACGGGUUUUCCAUGCCCUUCCGAUGGGCACCACUAGAAUUGACACGAUGCAUGAUGAUACUGUCGGCCUUUGUGAUGAGGUCACAUAUCUCCCUCAACAAGCUUGCAUGAGGUAUAAGCUCUCUGGGGGAAGUCUUUAUCAAUAAAUUACCGGUCCCAAUUCAAAGUGCAGGUUAUCACCUACAAAGCCCUAAAUGGUUUGGGCCCUGCAUAUCUUUGUGACCGCAUCCUCCCCCUAUGUAUCUUUAUGAGUGUUACGAUCUGCCGGGAAGGCCCUCCUCAUAGUCUUGCCACAGUUACAAGCAUAGUUGGUGCGGAUAAGGGAAAGGGCCUUCUCGGUGGUGGCCCCCUGGCUUUGGAACGCCCUCUCUAGGAAGAUUAGGCAAGCCCCCCACACUCUCAUCCUUCUGGAGAGAACUGAAGACUUGGAUGUUUAGGCAAACCUUUGAGAAUCCCUAGUGCAAUGGUCCACAAUUUAAUGGUACCGCACUGCACUUUCAUCCCAUGGCCUUGUUGCUUAGCUACACCUUGCACUAUCCCUUCCCCUCCUUUUGUUCACAGUUGGCUAUGUUUUUAUGACACUUGUUACUAUAGAUUGUUGGGUACUGUUCUGAGUUUUCAAAUUGUUUUAUAUGCUAUUGGUUUUACUUUGUAUUGUACUGUGUGUUUGUUUUUGCAUUGUUUUAGACACUUUGUGCCAUGUGUAAGCUGCCCCGAGUCCCUUCAGAGAGAUGGAGGCAGGAUACACAAAAAAGGAAUGAUUGUAUAUUAUUAUUUAUCAUGAACCUGCCCCAGUCACGGGCACAUUUAGUGAGGACAUGAGAGAGGGCCUUCUAAGGGACAGCUCUCAGGUUGUGGAUUUUUUUUCUUCUCUUUUUCUGCCAGCAGGCAAAAACCUUUUUUAAAAUUAUUAUUUAGGCAAGCCCUUGGUUCAUAAAUUGUGUGGUAGUUGUUUCAUUGAUUUUGACCUCUUUUACUAAUAGAUUUAUUAAAAUCUGCAGACUCUAAUGUUCUAAUGUUUUGAUGUUGAUGUUUUAUGCUGGUUUGUAUGUUUAUACUAUUUUACCUGUUUCACAUUGGUUUAAUUAUGCUGUAUUUUAUUGUAUGUUGAAACUGGGCUUGUCCCCAUGUGAGCCGUCCCAAGUCCCCUCUGGGGAGAUGGGAGCGGGAUAUAAAAAUAAAGUUAUUAUUGUUAUUAUUGUUAUUAUUGUUAUUAUUAUUAACUUAAAUUGUAUCUAAGCCACCCCCUGAGUCCUGUUGCAAGAAGAAAGGAGAGCAGUGAAUAAAUUUCAACAUACAGAAUAUUUUUACUAUCUUCCUGUAAUACAGAAGGAAACAGAAUAAUAACAUCAGCUACCUAGAACUUAGAAAGUUUGACAAUGCAAAGGGGAAAGGUGACGGGAAAUGCUGGAAAUGUGAGAAGCGUAAGGGUGAUUUUAUACACAUGUGGUGGGGGUGCAAGAAGAGUAAAAAAUAUUGGCAAGGAAUCCAUAAAGAAAUGGUGGAAAUACUUUUUUAAAAAAUCGGCAUAAAACCUGAAUACUUUUUACUAGGAAUAACGGACUUCCAGAUGGACUCCAAUAUGGAAAGGCUUUUUACAUACAUGGUUAUGGCAGCUAGGAUAUGCCUAGCAAAAGUAUGGAAGACGCAAGAAAUACCUACAGUGGAAAAAUGGACGCUGAAACUAUUAGACAUAAGGAAUAUGGAUUUACUAACACAAACAGUUUCACAGAAUAAUCCGCCAAGGAAAAAAACAGACUGGACUUGUUUAAAAUCAAUCAUUGGCUCAUAAGAAACAAAAGGGCAUUUGUAGGGAAAACGCCCAAAACAAAGGAA